AAAUUAAACAAGCAUGAAGUGCUACGCUAAUUAAGUUUUAUUUAUUAUAAAUAGAUUAAGUUAAAAGUCGAACGGGUGAUUACACCUGCAGCGGUGCAGCUAUGGAUUCCUACCGAUCUAAAGGGUAAUCGCCUUGCCCACUAUGCUUAAUGCUGGUAUAGACUUGUCGCCGACAUGCUUCACGACGGAACAGUAAUUAAACUUAGUCUGACCUUGUUUUCGGAGCUAUUUAACUGGUGCAAAUACGGCAGUGCAAAAAGGUGGUCCAAGCCGGGGUUUCUCCACGCGACGCUACCAGAUGGGCUCGUUAGGUGGAAAAUAAGAGAAAAUAGGGAAGCAGCCUAUGGAUUAAUGGGUCUUAAUAAAAAAGUGAUCGGAGAUUGUACUCACCAGUGGUAUAAAGUUUAUUUUAAAACAAAUACUCAGCUCAAAAACUGACCACCAGCCUCGCCCUAUUUCAAAAUGUCUCUAUCUUGACCCCUUGGUCAAGAAUGUUAGAUAAAAGAUAAAUUUUAAAAUUGCAUUCAUAUUCAUAUGCUGACCUCUAUUAAAUUACUUUUGCAGUAUUUAUAAAACCUGUAACUGCUUAUAGAAAACGUUACACAUGUCCCUCUUGUACAUCACCAAAAAUUUCAUUCUCACAACCUGUAUCUGGUGGCCUAUAAAAGUGGAUACAAACCGCGUGAAUAUGUUUACAAAUAUUAAAGUUUAUAACAUUGUCCAAACAACUAAAUCUAAACGAGUAUUUACAUUCACCGCUAUUGUGUUCUAAAACAUAGUCAUGACUGGAAUGGAUUCUUGUGAAGGCACCACUAACCAUUUAUCAUCACACUGUUUUAACAAUUCCAAAGGAAUGCAACUUCCACGAUUAUGGCCGUCUCUAAUUCGCUUUAUUUUAUUAGUCACUUUAUACUUUGAAAAUUUAAUAAUCCGCUCAAACAUUUUGUCCCUAACAAGGUUUAUUAAAGCAUUAAUGGUCUUAUCCAGCCGUUUGCAUUUUUUCCCUUCUAGAUAGAUAUGUUUAGAUAUGAUUGGACCUUAAGUUAUUUAAUCAAAUAUUGCUACAUAAGAAUUUAAAAAUAUUGUUACCAGCUAGUUUAUUUCUAUCCUCUUCAUCGAGUAGUAAUCCACCAACUUCACAAGUGUGUCCAACGUCAGGAUAAAAAAUGGUGAAAACCCUUUCAUUUCUAAUUGUUACAAUAAGCCUUGAAGGGCAUGCACCUCCUAUUUUAUUAGUACCACUUCCUUUUGACUUCACUUUUA